rnacentral:misc_RNA from 1 species
GAUGAAGAACGUAGCGAAAUGCGAUACUUGGUGUGAAUUGCAGAAUCCCGUGAACCAUCGAGUCUUUGAACGCAAGUUGCGCCCGAAGCCAUUAGGCCGAGGGCACGCCUGCCUGGGCGUCACACGUCGUUGCCCCCCCCAUCUACUCCUUCGGGAUUGCGGGGGGCGGAUGAUGGCCUCCCGUGCGCCUCGCCGCGCGGUUGGCAUAAAUGCCAAGUCCUCGGCGACGCGCGCCACGACAAUCGGUGGUUGCGAAACCUCGGUUGCCCGUCGUGUGCGGUCGUCGCGCAUCGAGGGCUCGAAAAAAUUGCCGAGUUCCGGCUCGGCUUUCAACGCGACCCCAGGUCAGGCGGGGUUACCCGCUGAAUUUAAGCAUAUCAAUAAGCGGAGGA